AGUGAACGCUGGCGGUAGGCCUAACACAUGCAAGUCGAACGGCAGCACAGUAAGAGCUUGCUCUUACGGGUGGCGAGUGGCGGACGGGUGAGUAAUACAUCGGAAUCUACUUUUUCGUGGGGGAUAACGUAGGGAAACUUACGCUAAUACCGCAUACGACCUACGGGUGAAAUCAGGGGAUCUUCGGACCUUGCGCGAUUGAAUGAGCCGAUGCCGGAUUAGCUAGUUGGCGGGGUAAAGGCCCACCAAGGCGACCAUCCGUAGCUGGUCUGAGAGGAUGAUCAGCCAUACUGGAACUGAGACACGAUCCAGACUCCUACGGGAGGCAGCAGAGGGGAAUAUUGGCCAGUGGGCGCAAGCCUGAUCCAGCCAUACCGCGUGGGUGAAGAAGGCCUUCGGGUUGUAAAGCCCUUUUGUUGGGAAAGAAAAGCAGCAGGUUAAUACCCCGCUGUUCUGACGGUACCCAAAGAAUAAGCACCGGCUAACUUCGUG
rnacentral:rRNA from 1 species